rnacentral:tRNA from 3 species
CGGGAUGUGGCGCAGUCCGGUAGCGUACUUGCAUGGGGUGCAAGGGGUCGUGGGUUCGAAUCCCGCCAUCCCGACCG